UUCAUUUUCGAUAAUUCCAUGCCAUGCAAAUACUGAAAUAUGAGCAAAACAACACAUCUCCGAGCUCUAGCGAAGUUAUUAACCAAGGAGGGGGAUGCAGUAGCGAAAUAUUUGAGAUUUAAAGGUUUAUCUUCAAGUGGAAACAAAACUGACAAAGAAGUAACAGUGUCUUUGAAACACUGCAGUUAUUGUGGUAACAUUUUUACACCUGAGACUUGCAGGGUAAGAAUCAGACCAAAGUUAACUUUGAACAGAAACAUGUCAAAACUGUUGGAGAGACAUAAAGAAAACCCAGAAGCCUUGAGCAAAUAUCAGAGAAACUUAGUGCAAAGAUAUCUCAGGAGUAAAAAUGUGUUGAUAAAAACAUGCUUGCAAUGCAGCAAAACAAGCAAGUUUCCAGCACAAACAAGAGAAUUACAAACCAAAAGAGUUCAAUCUUUAAAACCAGUAGUUCUUAAAACAGAAGAAACAGAAUCAACUGAAAUCGAGGAGAAAAAGUUAACAAAGAAACAAAAGAAAAGACUGAAAAAGAAACAACUUAACAAUCGGAUACCACAAGACUGUAUGGAUUAUAGAUUUAAUGCAUUUCAGUGAGAGUCACACAGCGGAUGUUAGUCCUGUGAUCAACAACAAAGUGCAGAAUAAAACAGCAGUUCCUAGUGCUCAAAAUAAAAACUCAUCUAACCUCAACAAAGUGAAUCCUGCUAAACCAGGAAAUUUAGCCAAGAAACUUGCAGGCAAAAAUCGACACCAACAACUGAGUAAAAUGCUUGCACAAGACAAGAAAGACAACAAACCAGCUUCUUUAUCUAUGUUUUUAUCAACUUUGUGAAGUUUAUUCAUUAAACCCAUAUAAGAAUUUUUGUUAAUGAUUAACAUUACCUUACAUUGGAAGAGGGCUUUGCAACUGACAAUAGUGACAGUGGAAAACAGGACAUAAUCCACACCAUGUACAUCUAAUUAGAGGUUUUAUCAUUUUUAACAUAUCAUCCUCACUAUAAAGUAUAUCAUUCAAAAACACAGCAUGAUUGCUACCCGUAUAGAAGCCAAAUCUGAUAUAAACAAAUAGUUCCCUGAUUUUAGAGCUACUGGUAAAUGUUACUGAGAAUCAGACAUUAGUUUUUAUUUCGUUAUUCCUUCAUAUAUAUACCAGUAGUCAAACAUGCUGGGAAGUAUCAAAAUCUUAUUCAUCAGGAGGUAAAAAAUUACUACCAAAAAAGCCAGGACCUUUUAGACUAUAAUAUACUUUUUCAGGCCAAAGGUCUCAAUUACAUGUAAAUGUAAUGCAAUAGGGUAUUUAAUUUCCACUUUGUUAAACCACAAAAUAUGAUAAGGGGAAUAACUUGAUUUAAUUUAAAGUACCAUGUAUUACCCUUUACAAUAUGUAUAAAAUGUGGCAGUUGCAGGGAAACUGUACACAGUAUUGUCAGCUUUACUUUGUUAGUACUUUUGCUUCUGAAAUACUACCCUUUUUUAUCCUGUAAAAGAGAAUUUUACAAGGCUUUUGGUUGCCAAUAUUCCUUGCCACAAACCACUCUUUUCAUGAAGCAUGUAUUUGUUUGAUAUUAUCAACAUAAGCUUGAUCAAAUAUAUUAUUUUCUGCAAACCAGUUUAUCACUUGUACUAGUAUGUAAUGCAAAAUGGAGUAUUUGUGAAUUUAAAUGUGGUUUAAUUAUGGUAUGAAGUCACUAUGUACUUUUUGAACAAAUGAGUAAAAUGUCGUAAAUCUGAAUGCUUAUUUUUAAUGUAGUUCUAAUAUUAUCACAAGUACAUGAUUUUACCUUUACAUUAACACUACACCUUGUAAUGUAAUUGUUUUGGAGAUUACCAUUAUACCUAUCUGGACAAGAAGUAAAUGCCUACAGUGUUUCAAAAAAAUUAUCUUCACCAAAAAUAAAUGAAAUCAAU
rnacentral:misc_RNA from 1 species